UCUUCGCGCAAGCGGCUUCCAAUGCCGCUGUUUCCGGGUUGGCAGCAGCUGUGGCGGCGGCGGCCGAAGAGGUGAAGUCAGGGCGGCGCAGGAACCGCAGCCUCAGGCCCCACGGAGCUGAAGACCUGGGCGGGCCCGGCGCGGGUGCGCCCGCCAGGCUGUUGGGUGGGCCGGCCGCGAUCCAGGCCUCGCCGGGCCUGCAGAGAGGCUUAAUCCUUGGCUUCUAAAGAAAAUGGCAGAAACAUCAUCAGAGCCUCCUGGGCAGCUUGUUGUACACUCAGACACUCACAGUGACACUGUCCUGGCCAGUUUUGAGGAUCAGAGGAAGAAAGGUUUUCUCUGUGACAUUACUUUAAUCGUGGAGAAUGUGCAUUUCCGGGCCCACAAAGCCUUACUGGCUGCCAGUAGCGAAUACUUCUCCAUGAUGUUUGCUGAAGAGGGGGAGAUUGGCCAGUCCAUUUAUAUGCUGGAAGGCAUGGUAGCCGACACAUUUGGUAUCCUGCUGGAAUUCAUUUACACAGGUUGUCUGCAGGCCAGUGAGAAAAGUACAGAACAAAUUCUGGCUACUGCUCAGUUCCUAAAAGUCAAUGACCUGGUAAAGGCUUACACAGACUUUCAAAAUAACCAUAGCUCCCCAAAGCCAACAACUUUGAACACGGCUGGUGUUCCAGUGGUUGUUAUUUCUAAUAAGAAAAAUGAUCCUCCAAAGCGGAAACGGGGAAGACCAAGAAAAGUCAACAAUUUGCAGGAGGGGAAAUCAGAACUGGCUGCAGAGGAAGAAGUACAGCUGAGAGUGAACAAUUCAGUUCAGAACAGACAAAACUUUGUGGUUAAAGAGGGAGAAAAUGGGGUACCACAUGAACAGAUUCCAGCAAAAGAAAUGGAAGAGUCUGAGCCUGCUUGUGACCCAGGGAGAGGGGAAGGAAUGCCCGCUGAAAAAGAUGAGAACUGUGAUCCUAAGACCCAGGAUGGGCAGGACCACCAGACUCGGUUCAGCAAGCGGAGGAUUCAGAGAUCCAUCAAACUUAAAGAUUACAAACUUGUUGGGGAUGAAGAUGACCAGAGUUCCACCAAGCGGGUCUGUGGAAGGAGAAAGCGCCCCGUCGGCCAUGAGGCCCGUUGUAAAGACUGUGGCAAAGUCUUCAAGUAUAAUCACUUUUUAGCAAUCCACCAGAGGAGCCACACAGGGGAGCGACCUUUCAAGUGUAAUGAGUGUGGGAAAGGCUUUACCCAGAAGCACUCCCUGCAGGUCCACACCCGGAUACACACAGGCGAGCGGCCGUACACCUGCACCAUGUGUAGCAAAGCGCUCACCACCAAGCACUCGCUGCUGGAGCACAUGAGCCUGCACUCAGGACAGAAGUCUUUUACCUGUGAUCAGUGUGGAAAAUAUUUCAGUCAGAAAAGACAACUAAAGAGCCAUUACCGAGUUCAUACAGGCCACUCAUUACCGGAAUGCAACCACUGCCAUCGCAAAUUCAUGGACGUGUCUCAGCUAAAGAAACAUCUACGAACACACACAGUACUGCCUUCCUGACAUCAGUGUACCUGAAAACCAAGUUAGUGAUCAGAAGAUUGCUUGGUGACCUGGGGGCAAGUUCAGGGAAUUGGCCCAGGCCAUGGAGAAGCCUGAGUCCCCGUGUGACCUAGUAAGCAUCUCCGUACGAUCCACAGUAGAGGUGUGAACAUGGUAACAGAAAUGAUCCACUUUCCCUGGAAGAUCUGGGAAAGCAUCCCAGAAGAAAGACCUGGAUCUUGAAGCCAGAGGAAGUGCUGGAUGGACAAAAGAAGUGGGAAGAGGCGUUCCCAGGCAGGAACAGGGUGUGCAGAGAGAUAUUGAGGUGAGAGGCUGGCAACCGAGGGCCACAGUGAGGAAAUGCCACCCUGAACAGCAAAAGUGAGAUUGCCAGCAAAGGUGAAGGCAGGUGUGGGGGGACCUUUGGCAGAAAGGAGGGGUUUUGAUUUGUGUAUUGGAAAAAACUCAGGCAGCCCCAGGAGGGUGGACAGAGUGGAAUGAGCCAGGUAGCAGGCUUCUGGGGGAAGAAAGAUGAAGGCCUUUGGGUCCGGAGAGUGGAAGUAAGAGAUCUAUUUCAGAGAUCUGUAGUGACUGCAAACAUGACAAACUGUUCAUAUCCAAAAUACUGAGUACCCCAGUAGAAAACUGAGCCGGAGACAUAAAAGGCACUUCAUGGAAGACAUAGGAAUGGCCAGUAGACAUAUAAAAUAAUGUUAACUGCACUAAUCAUCAAAGAAAAAGAAAUGUCCACUUAUUUUUACCCAUUACAUUGGCACAUAUGUGAGGAAAUGGGCAACUUUAUGUUCUGUUGGUGGGAAUAUAACUUGGGAGCUUUCUGGAAAGAACUUUGGCAAUGUGUAUCAAAAUGUAAACUGCCCAAUUGUGAAAAGAUGUUUGCAUAAGGAUAUUCAUAAAUAGGAUUGUUUAUAAGGUCACAAGCUUAAAAACUACCACAAUACCUCAGUGUCCAUCAGUAAGAGAUUAGUUAGGUAAAUUUUGGACAGGAUACAUAGUGAAACACAGCACAUACAAUAGUGGUGUGGCUUUAUUUGACAUUACAGACCAGCAUGCACUGGACAAUCUGUGGGGAAGGAAGAAACUUUCCUCUAUGCUCCUAGGUUCUUUCAGCUGGUCUAAUUAUAGACAUAAAACAGGUUAACAAGAGAAAAUAAUCCAAUUACAUACAUACAUACAAGGACCCCACAUACGUGAGAGGCUGAGUGACAUAAAGGGAAGAUGAUGUAUGUAUGACAUUCUGAGCCAAAGAAUGAGGUAAGUUGCCUUGGGGUUUCAGAAGGGAGGAAGCUAUGAUAAUAGGAUAAUAAUCAUAGCUGUUCAGUCAUUAAAAGUUUGCCCUGCCCUGUAGAUAGGUCCUAAAGAGUUAUUUCCGGUGAUAACUCCUAUUAUGGGCAAGGCCCCUAAUUUAAAUUCUUUAAGGGAGAGGUGAAAGUUUCUCCUUAGUCCACAGGGUCUCAGUUGCCUUCAGCUCAAAAUAAUUCACAUACCAAGUGGCACAUCCUGUGGUGUCCUGUCUGAACCCCUUAAGUCUCACCUUUGAAAUUUCCUGAGAAGUUUCACCUUCCAGAAGUUGGGUUGAUAGAUUGUUCCUUAUCUCAUUAAACCAGCCUUGUCUUAAAAAUAGGUCAGUUCAGUCUAACAUUUGUAUCCCACUUCAGGAGACAGUAAUGCAGGUGGGCUCCCAAAGUUAGGCCUGUGGUUCGGGCAGUCAGGUAUUUACUAAGAGGCAUCUGUGAGGAAAAGGAAAAUCAGUGGUUAAUAACUGGAACAGAUUAGUCCUAGUUCCUUAGUUCUGAAGGAACCACAUUGAGAAGAUUUCUAGAUGUCGGGUUUGAAGCAUCUUCAGAUGGAGUGGACGCAGGCAAGUGACAAUCUGAUAGAUUUUCCUGGUCUGUAUUUUGAAUGACUCGGUGAUCUUUCUAUAACAGGCACGAAGGUUCUCCAUGUAUGAGCUUGUUGUGGUCAUUUCUCUGACGUUUAUGUCAAGUUGUCCCACUUUAGCUUGCCUGGGUUUGGGAAAAAGGCACUUUUGAGUUCUCAAUUAUUCCAAGUCAGGAGGGUGGGAGAAAAAAUUGGAAGCAUUAGUUUGGAGAGUCAUAGUCAGAUAUAGGGAGGAGUUAGAAGAAUUCAGGAUCCAGUCCAAUUUGCGAAUAGGAACAAAACUUCAAAAGACAAUGAACAACACUAGAAUUUAAUAUCCACAAAGGUAUAUUACUGAAACAUAAUCUUUUCCCUAAAAUCACCCCCAUUUUUACCAAACAUAGCUAAAUUAAGACUAAUUCGUUUGUGAGGUAAGUCUAGUUUCAACAAACUCAGCCUGUUAUUUAAAUAGGAGCAGCAAGAACGAUAAUUAACCUAUAGGCUCUUUUAAGUCUAUUUGUAAUUUUGUCAAUUUUUAUAUUUCUAUAUUAUUUCACCAGUGGGUUUUGGUAUCAUAGUUCACGGAUUUCCCAUAUCAGGGAGUCCUGGAAAUUUCUCUUUUCUGUUCCCUGACUGUAUUGCCUACUUUGUGUAAAAGGACUUUGGGUCCCUCACAAGGGGUCAAGCCAAGGGACCCUGGUCCUUCUGUCAAUCUUUAACUUACUUAGUUGGCCUAACUGCUGCCCCAAGGAUUGCUGGUCAGGUUUUUCAUUAUAAUUUCUGCCUUGCAGCUAUUUUAGUUUCUCAAAGGUAAACAGGAUUUGUUUGGGGCCCUUUGAUGUUGGCAGGCCAACAGGCGGAGCUUUGGUCCAUCCAGCCAUUGGCGGUGCUUAUUACUGGUAAAUCCUUCGUUUUAACUCUGUCGACAUCCAUUUUAUUUAUCUCAGUUUUUUUUUAAUAACCAUCUAAAGACUUCCACCCUGCUGGGACUAGUCCUGUGACUUUCCUUUCUGUUUUCUUUUUGUUUCACCCCUAUCAAUGUUUGCUUUAUUCACCUAUUUCUUAAAAAUUUCUACCUUGUUGAGAAGAAUCCCUGGACUCUCCUCUUGGCCUCUCCCAUUCUCUUGUUAAUUAACCUAAUGUUUUUAUUUGCAUGUGUGAGACCUAUGAGGGAAAACAGAGACUGUAAAAUCGAUGUUUUUCCCUUUUUAUUAUUAAGGGAAUUCUUAAGACUAGGUGCUAUAUUUCUUUGAAUCCACUUUUAAAAUUUGGUCUUUCCAUGGUACCAAUAAAACAGCUGUUACGAUGAGAGCUCUAAAAAUUUUCGAAUUUAGAUGUAUUUCCAAUUGAAAGGAUCCACCCUCUCUCUGGCCUUGACAAGUAGUAUCUUAACAGUGACUCAAACCAAUAAACCUUUUUGUAGCUUAAUAAAGGGCCACAUAAGUGUGUGAAGAGUGCAGCCCUCACAGGAUCCAGAAAGUUCACUCCCAGAGUACUCUUAAGACAUUAAAAAGGCAGGCAAUCAAGCAAUGAAGAGGAAGAUGACAAAGUCCCCUCAUGGAAUUUCCCUGAGAGCUGGCACGGAGGAACAAAAAGACAAAGAGAGCUGCCCGGAAUGGAAUCCCCAGUCUAUUUGGCUGCCAAAUGUGCUCUGAUAAGUACACCUUCUGGAUGGCAGAGACCAAAGAGGCAAAACCAAGUUCUCAAAACAUAGAAUAAAACAAAUGACAUAACACACAAAACAGUGACCGUCUCUGGAAGGAAAGGAUCAAUAAAGAUCCAGAGUACUCCCACCACAUAAUCAAAAAUUGCUAAACCCAAGGAACUAGUUCCAAAAAUAUUUUUUCCUCCUAAAUUUAGAAAAGGGGGAAAAAAGGCUCUCACCACUGAACGCUGCAGGUAGACAUCUGGGAGUCUGACUUGACAAAAUUCUUACCUUUGCCGGUUUGUGCAUGAGGCCCCAGGAUCCUUCUGCAGCAGCUUCCUGGUGAGCAGCGCCUGGCCAGUGAAGUAUCCUGCUCACAGUGCCAACUGCCAGGGAGGAAGAAACUUGCCUCUCCCCUCCUAGGUCUUUUUGUCUGGCCUGACAAUCAAAUAGACAUGAGACAGAUUUAUAAGCGAGAAUGACCAAAUGUAAUUACAUAGGUACAUAUGGGAACACCACAUACGCGAGAGAGGCAGAGACAGAAAGGGAAAAUGGGGUAAUAAUGACAUUCAGGUAAGGAUGAGGUAAGGCGCCGUGGGGCUUCACAGGGGAGGGAGGUCAUGCACAGGAUGGUAAGUGCAGAUAUCCGGUAACUAGAAGUUUGCCCUGCCUUACAGAUAGGUCAUAAAGUUAUUUCUCGUGAUUACUCUCAUUAUGGGCAAGGCCCCCAAUUUAAAUUCUUUAAGGGGGAGGUAAAAGAGUCUCGUGAACCCACAGGCUCUCGAUUGCCUUCAGUUCAAAGCAGUCCUCAUGCCAUGGGGAGGCCUGUUCUGAACCCCUUCAGAUCUCACAGCAUAGAAUUGCGUACUCGAGUGUACAUUCACAAAGAGAUGUCUGGAAAGAUGUACAUCGCAGUGUUACGUAGCUCUCUCACGUGAGGGGAAUUUGGAGUGGUUUUUACAAAAAUACGUUGUGCUUUUUGCUAUUAUUCGAGUCUUUUUUGUAUUGGGAGCACGGGUGAUUUUUAAAGAAAAACAAACCUAUUUCAUUCAGAGUUAAAAUGUAUAGAACUGAAUUGCCAUUGAGCAUGAACACAGAGUGAACUAGAGGUGUCACGUGACUGUGGGGCCUGGCCGGGGCCGGGGUUGGAUGGUGCUGCUAUUACCCAAAAAAGUUACUCCAGGUUUGAACCGAUGGUGAUGGGAAAUCAGCUGUGAUACCCAACGAGCCCCAAGUAGUCGGUACUGUCAGGCUCUGAGGUGCGAAUUUACAAGUCGUCAGAGUCGGGGUGGGGUUGGUGGCAUGUACUGCUGAGAAGAGGGUCUAGAAGGGAAACCCUUGAGUUACGUAAGUAUUUCUGUGCGCC